rnacentral:rRNA from 1 species
CUGCACCAACUGAGGCCUAUUAAGCGUGUUGCUUUUGAAGGGCCUGUAACAGGGAGGCGUUUCUAUGGCUGCCCAGUCCAGGAAAAUGGUGUGAAUUGUGGUGUUACAGAGUGGGUUGAUGGGCCUUGGCCAACUGUUCUUCAGAGAUAUUUGUGCAAGCUAUGGGAGAUGUUCCAUGAGCAGAACUUUGGAAGGGUACAGGACAAGGAGAAUUUUGAGCAGGAGUUGGCCAGGCUUAAGACUGAAAAUGACAAGCUUUGCAUUGAGUACACCAAGCUUGUUGAUGAUGUAUCGAAGAUGUUUGAUUGGCAGGAUGGUAGGGUGGACAAGAAACAAGUGGAGGAGGAAGAACUUGAGAAGAAGAAGAAGGAGCUAGAGGAGAAAGCCAUGUUGGAGGUGUAG